rnacentral:lncRNA from 1 species
UUCAGAUGCUGUGAGAGUGGAUGCUGCCUGCAGAAGGAAACCAUUUGGGAUUCUUCAAACGACUCCUUAAGAUGAAGCACUUCUGUCGCAAGUGCAGACAGCCAGAUCAGAACCCCAGAAGCCAUCAUCAGACACCUCCAGAAGCACCGACCACGGCUCCCCUAGAGAUCUGGGUCCCCACCUUGGAUCCCCCACCACCCUAUGAUCAGGUGAGUCUUUCUGUCCCAAUCCUUAGCUUGUUUCACAGCUGGCUAUCCAACUUGUUGAAGUCACAGACAGGGGAGAGCUGCCAACCAACUUCAUCAUUCCUUAGGCAGGCCUGAAGCAAGCUAAGUACCCUUUCUCCCCUGCAGGUCAUCAUGAAGCCUGUAG